rnacentral:rRNA from 1 species
GACGAACGCUGGCGGCGUGCUUAACACAUGCAAGUCGAACGGAAAGGCCCUUCGGGGUACUCGAGUGGCGAACGGGUGAGUAACACGUGGGUGAUCUGCCCUGCACUUUGGGAUAAGCCUGGGAAACUGGGUCUAAUACCGAAUAUGAUCAUCGGCUUCAUGGUCGGUGGUGGAAAGCUUUUGCGGUGUGGGAUGGGCCCGCGGCCUAUCAGCUUGUUGGUGGGGUAAUGGCCUACCAAGGCGACGACGGGUAGCCGGCCUGAGAGGGUGACCGGCCACACUGGGACUGAGAUACGGCCCAGACUCCUACGGGAGGCAGCAGUGGGGAAUAUUGCACAAUGGGCGCAAGCCUGAUGCAGCGACGCCGCGUGAGGGAUGACGGCCUUCGGGUUGUAAACCUCUUUCAGCACAGACGAAGCGCAAGUGACGGUAUGUGCAGAAGAAGGACCGGCCAACUACGUGCCAGCCGCCGCGGUAAGAC